AUCCAAACCAGGAGACCAGAGGACAGAGUUAUCAAGUUCCUGUUUGUGUUUGAUUUCUUCUGUGCAUGAAGGCAGCCAGUAAAGAGUCAACGAGAAAAUCCAAACACCAACCACACCUUGGAGCUUGUCUAUGAAGUGUCAAGCAUUGGAAAAAAGGGCAAAUAUAUAGGCAGGCCAAAGAGAGCGUCUCCUGACGCACUCUGGGUUGGAAGCACAAAGAGUUGCUGGUCCG